rnacentral:rRNA from 1 species
UAGCUCACUGGUCUAGUGAUUUUGCGCGGAAAAUAUAACGGGGCUAAAGUAAGUACCGAAGCUGUAGACUUAGUUUACUAAGUGGUAGGAGAGCGUUCUAUUUGCGUCGAAGGUAUACCGGUAAGGAGUGCUGGAGCGAAUAGAAGUGAGCAUGCAGGCAUGAGUAGCGAUAAUUAAUGUGAGAAUCAUUAACGCCGUAAACCCAAGGUUUCCUACGCGAUGCUCGUCAUCGUAGGGUUAGUCGGGUCCUAAGUCGAGUCCGAAAGGGGUAGACGAUGGCAAAUUGGUUAAUAUUCCAAUACCAACAUUAGUGUGCGAUGGAAGGACGCUUAGGGCUAAGGGGGCUAGCGGAUGGAAGUGCUAGUCUAAGGUCGUAGGAGGUUGUACAGGCAAAUCCGUAUAACAAUACUCCGAGAACUGAAAGGCUUUUUGAAGUCUUCGGAUGGAUAGAAGAACCCCUGAUGCCGUCGAGCCAAGAAAAGUUUCUAAGUUUAGCUAAUGUUGCCCGUACCGUAAACCGACACAGGUGGGUGGGAUGAGUAUUCUAAGGCGCGUGGAAGAACUCUCUUUAAGGAACUCUGCAAAAUAGCACCGUAUCUUCGGUAUAAGGUGUGGUUAGCUUUGUAUUAGGAUUUACUCCGAAAGCAAGGAAACUUACAACAAAGAGUCCCUCCCGACUGUUUACCAAAAACACAGCACUCUGCUAACUCGUAAGAGGAUGUAUAGGGUGUGACGCCUGCCCGGUGCUCGAAGGUUAAUUGAUGGGGUUAGCAUUAGCGAAGCUCUUGAUCGAAGCCCGAGUAAACGGCGGCCGUAACUAUAACGGUCCUAAGGUAGCGAAAUUCCUUGUCGGUUAAAUACCGACCUGCAUGAAUGGCGUAACGAGAUGGGAGCUGUCUCAAAGAGGGAUCCAGUGAAAUUGUAGUGGAGGUGAAAAUUCCUCCUACCCGCGGCAAGACGGAAAGACCCCGUGGACCUUUACUACAGCUUGACACUGCUACUUGGAUAAGAAUGUGCAGGAUAGGUGGGAGGCUUUGAGUAUAUGACGCCAGUUGUAUAUGAGCCAUUGUUGAGAUACCACUCUUUCUUAUUUGGGUAGCUAACCAGCUUGAGUUAUCCUCAAGUGGGACAAUGUCUGGUGGGUAGUUUGACUGGGGCGGUCGCCUCCCAAAUAAUAACGGAGGCUUACAAAGGUUGGCUCAGAGCGGUUGGAAAUCGUUCGUAGAGUAUAAAGGUAUAAGCCAGCUUAACUGCAAGACAUACAAGUCAAGCAGAGACGAAAGUCGGUCUUAGUGAUCCGGUGGUUCUGUGUGGAAGGGCCAUCGCUCAAAGGAUAAAAGGUACCCCGGGGAUAACAGGCUGAUCUCCCCCAAGAGCUCACAUCGACGGGGAGGUUUGGCACCUCGAUGUCGGCUCAUCGCAUCCUGGGGCUGGAGCAGGUCCCAAGGGUAUGGCUGUUCGCCAUUUAAAGCGGUACGCGAGCUGGGUUCAGAACGUCGUGAGACAGUUCGGUCCCUAUCUGCCGUGGGCGUAAGAAGAUUGAAGAGAUUUGACCCUAGUACGAGAGGACCGGGUUGAACAAACCACUGGUGUAGCUGUUGUUCUGCCAAGAGCAUCGCAGCGUAGCUAAGUUUGGAAAGGAUAAACGCUGAAAGCAUCUAAGCGUGAAGCCAACUCUAAGAUGAAUCUUCUCUAAGCUCUCUAGAAGACUACUAGUUUGAUAGGCUGGGUGUGUAAUGGAUGAAAGUCCUUUAGCUGACCAGUACUAAUAGAGCGUUUGGCUUAUCUUUAAUAAAGCAU